rnacentral:tRNA from 1 species
UUCCUGGUGGCUCAGACGGUAAAGCAUCUGCCUGCAAAGCAGGAGACUCGGGUUUGAUCCCUGGUUUGGGAA